rnacentral:rRNA from 1 species
AUUGAACGCUGGCGGCAGGCCUAACACAUGCAAGUCGAGCGAGCGGCGGACGGGUGUGUAAUGUCUGGGAAUUGCCCAGUCGAGGGGGAUAACAGUUGGAAACGACUGCUAACACCGCAUACGCUUGGAUUGCCUAGGUGGGAUUAGAUAGUUGGUGGGGUAAUGGCUCACCAAGGCGACGAUCCCUAGCUGGUCUGAGAGGAUGAUCAGCCACACUGGAACUGAGACACGGUCCAGACUCCUACGGGAGGCAGCAGUGGGGAAUAUUGCACAAUGGGGGAAACCCUGAUGCAGCCAUGCCGCGUGUGUGAAGAAGGCCUUAGGGUUGUAAAGCACUUUCAGCGGGGAGGCGUUACUCGCAGAAGAAGCACCGGCUAACUCCGUGCCAGCAGCCGCGGUAAUUC